CAGUCGCCGCGGGAACACGUAGGGUGCGAGCGUUAAUCGGAAUUACUGGGCGUAAAGCGUGCGCAGGCGGCUUCGCAAGACAGAUGUGAAAUCCCCGGGCUCAACCUGGGAACUGCAUUUGUGACUGCAAGGCUAGAGUGCGGCAGAGGGAGAUGGAAUUCCGCGUGUAGCAGUGAAAUGCGUAGAUUUGCGGAGGAACACCGAUGGCGAAGGCAAUCUCCUGGGCCUGCACUGACGCUCAUGCACGAAAGCGUGGGGAGCAAACAGGAUUAGAUACCCGUGUAGUCCCUGUCUCUUAUAC
rnacentral:rRNA from 1 species